CAAAAAGAAAGAAAUACUUGUGUCUGUGUGUGUGUGUGUGCAUGAAAAGAUCACCCGGAACCCGGAAAUCAGACACGACCGGGAAGUCAUCCGGACCCUGUGGAUGCUGAUCAUUCAUUGAACGGGUCGCUCCAACUGUUCAACGACGAUCAGUCAGAGGUCGAAGGAGUAGGGCACCCGCUCGUUGAUUCUUUAACUCACCAGAUGCCUCAGCUGAUAGGAGAUACAAAGACAACGAGCACGCCACACCUUCUACCUGUCGCUUCAACACCAACACCAACACCAACGUUUGCUCUCCCCUCUGCGUCUUGGCCUGUGUGGGAGACAUCGACGCCGGUUUCCUCAGUACCUCUGGAUCUACUAUCCGGACCGUUCCCUGCUGAAGACUCGACGUCGGCAUCUGGGCUAUCCGCACCUCCACAGCCACCGUCGCCGACACCAUCAGCACAGCCAGCAACCACAGACAAGCCGCGGACAUCGCCCCGGAUACCAAAACAAAAAGAAAGAAAUACUUGUGUGUGUGUGUGUGUGUGUGCAUGAAAAGAUCACCCGGAACCCGGAAAUCAGACACGACCGGGAAGUCAUCCGGACCCUGUGGAUGCUGAUCAUUCAUUGAACGGGUCGCUCCAACUGUUCAACGACGAUCAGUCAGAGGUCGAAGGAGUAGGGCACCCGCUCGUUGAUUCUUUAACUCACCAGACGCCUCAGCUGAUAGGAGAUACAAAGACAACGAGCACGCCACACCUUCUUCCUGUCGCUUCAACACCAACACCAACACCAACGUUUGCUCUCCCCUCUGGGUCUUGGCCUUUGUGGGAGACAUCGACGCCGGUUUCCUCAGUACCUCUGGAUCUACUAUCCGGACCGUUCCCUGCUGAAGACUCGACGUCGGCAUCUGGGCUAUCCGCACCUCCACAGCCACCGUCGCCGAC